rnacentral:rRNA from 1 species
GGGUAACCUAACCUAUGCAGGGGAAUAACCUCGGGAAACUGAGUAUAAUGCCCCAUAGUCCACUACGCCUGGAACGGUGAGUGGAUUAAAGCUCAGGCGGCAUAGGAUGGGCCUGCGGCGUAUCAGGUCGUAGGGGGUGUAAAGUACCCUCUAGCCAUCUACGCGUACGGGUGUUGGGAGACAUAGCCCGGAGAUGGAUUCUGAGACACGAAUCCAGACCCUACGGGGUGCAGCAGGCGCGAAAACUUGACAAUGCGAGCAAUCGUGAUCAGGGAACUCCAAGUGGCUGGGGUAAGACCCAGUCUUUUCAUAACUCUUCAAAGGUUGUAGAAUAAGGGGUGGGUAAGGACGGUGCCAGCCGCCGCGGUAAUACCGGCGCCUCAAGUGGUAGUCGCUUUUAUUGGGCCUAAAACGUCCGUAGCCGGUUUGGUACAUUCGUGGGUAAAUCAACUCGCUCAACGAGUUGAAUUCUGCGAGGACGGCCAGACUUGGGACCGGGAGAGGUGUGGGGUACUCUCAGGGUAGGGGUAAAAUCCUGUCAUCCUGAGAGGACCACCUGUUGCGAAGGCGCCACACUAGAACGGAUCCGACGGUCAGGGACGAAGCCUAGGGGCACGAACCGGAUUAGAUACCCGGGUAGUCCUAGGUGUAAACGCUGUGGACUUGAUGUUGGAGAAGCUCCGAGCUUCUUCAGUGUCGAAGCGAAGGUGAUAAGUCCACUGCCUGGGAAGUACGGUCGCAAGGCUGAAAACU